CAGUAGCCACGGGAACACGUAGGCAGCGAGCGUUGUUCGGAAUUACUGGGCGUAAAGAGUGUGUAGGCGGUGCUCUAAGUUCGGUGUGAAAUCUCCCGGCUUAACUGGGAGGGUGCGCCGGAAACUGGAAUGCUCGAACGUGGGAGAGGAAAGCGGAAUUCCUGGUGUAGCGGUGAAAUGCGUAGAGAUGUGGAGGAACACCAGUGGCGAAGGCGACUCUCUGGUCUGUAACUGACGCUGAGGAGCGAAAGCGUGGGGAGCGAACAGGAUUAGAUACCCCUGUAGUCCCUGUCUCUUAUAC
rnacentral:rRNA from 1 species